GACGAACGCUGGCGGCGUGCUUAACACAUGCGAGUCGAACGGAAAGGCCCUGCUUUUGUGGGGUGCUCGAGUGGCGAACGGGUGAGUAACACGUGAGUAACCUGCCCUUGACUUUGGGAUAACUUCAGGAAACUGGGGCUAAUACCGGAUAGGAGCUCCUGAUGCGUGUUGUGGGUCGGAAAGUUUCGGCGGUUGGGGAUGGACUCGCGGGUUAUCAGCUUGUUGGUGGGGUAGGGGAUUACCAAGGCUUUGAAGGGUAGCCGGCCUGAGAGGGGGACCGGCCACAUGGGGACUGAGAUACGGCGCAGACGCCUACGGGAGGCAGCAGGCGGGAAUAUUGCACAACGGGCGGAAGCGUGAUGCAGCAACGCCGCGUGCGGGAUGACGGCCUACGGGUUAUAAACCGCUUUCGCCUGUGACGAAGAGUGCGUGACGGUAAUGGGUAAAGAAGCACCGGCUAACUACGUG
rnacentral:rRNA from 1 species